UAGCGAAGGGGGCGAGCGUUGUUCGGAUUUACUGGGCGUAAAGGGCGCGUAGGCGGCGCCGCAAGUCGCGUGUCGAAAGCCCCGGGCUCAACCUGGGAGGUGCGCGCGAGACUGUGGUGCUGGAGUUCGGGAGAGGAGCGUGGAAUUCCCAGUGUAGAGGUGAAAUACGUAGAGAUUGGGAAGAACACCAGUGGCGAAGGGCGGCU
rnacentral:rRNA from 1 species